UCAGCUCUCAAAUCUUUCUCAACAUAUUUACUUUCACUCCCUCUCCCUCUCAUUGGUUCUCAUUAUAUUUUUCUCUCUCAAAAUUUCGUCAGUUAAGGUUUGGUUACUCUCUGCCGUGCGACACCACCUUUGUUCGAGGGUUUUGUUUGCCCUUGCAUCUCUUCACCAGAACGCUAUCAAAUGACGGUAAGACCUUUCUUCCACUCUUUUCACAACUUCUUCCUUUUCGGCGAUUUUUCAGUGAGUGUUGAAGGUGCCUUUUUAUGUGUUUUACCCAAAUCUGCGUCGCCGUCAAACCUCCAUAUUGGAGCGGUUGGGAUCGAUGUACCACCACUACUACGAUCAGCAUCAUCGCCGAUUACCCAUUCGCAUAGUCGCAGGGUGGUAAUCUAGUCCUAGGCAAUGCUAUAUUACUCAUAAAACCAGUCGAUCAUCACGCCGGCACUGUGAAAGGUUGUUUUUGAGUUGAUGUUUGCUGUCAGGGUGGUUUAUUGGUUGAUUGAGUGAUGAAGUGUGUUGGACUGGUUGUGCUGGAACUGUUGUAAGUCGUGUGAAUGCUUGGGUUUGACUUGUGGGCUGGUUGGCUAUUAUGUUACUGCUUGUGUGUGUGAAAAUGUGGAGAGUAGCUACUGUAGUAUAGUGUGAUGGUAGUGAUUGUAUGAUAGCGUUGCUAUGAAAUGGUCGGGUGAUUUAUAUAUCGAAAGUAAAUGGAUGUUUGGUUGAUUGUUGGAUUUGUUGGUUUAGGGGCUGUUUUAUGUUAGUUAAUUUGGUUAUGGGUUCAUGUCCUAUCGAAAGCAUAACCACGAAGUAGGCCGGACUUUCAAUAUGUGACCACCCAAGGUCAAGAAAAAGUUGCUUCAAGUUCUUGUCUCAACUUAAGAAUUUGAAGCAAGAAAAAAAUAUACAUGUGAAGUAAUUUCUAUGAUA